UACGUAGGUGGCAAGCGUUGUCCGGAUUUAUUGGGCGUAAAGCGAGUGCAGGCGGCUCGAUAAGUCUGAUGUGAAAGCCUUCGGCUCAACCGGAGAAUUGCAUCAGAAACUGUCGAGCUUGAGUACAGAAGAGGAGAGUGGAACUCCAUGUGUAGCGGUGAAAUGCGUAGAUAUAUGGAAGAACACCGGUGGCGAAGGCGGCUCUCUGGUCUGUUACUGACGCUGAGGCUCGAAAGCAUGGGUAGCGAACAGGAUUAGAUACCCUG
rnacentral:rRNA from 1 species